AGAGGGGAUGGCAGCUCCGAGGCUUCAGGAGGAGGGUGGGGAUCAGGCCUGGGGAGUGCCGCUGUCCAGGCGGGCAGGCUUGCCUAGCAGCCCCUCCAGGAUUCUAGGGAGCCACGGAGUGUCCACGGAACGCUUCACCUGGGGCCCGUGGAAGGAGUCUAUGGACGCAUGAAGCUGCUCUUAUGAUCGCGUGCGCUUGACUCAUGAUCCUGAAGACAAUGAAGAAGAAAUGACACUCAUUCCUGAGCAUGGAAUGAACACUCUGCUGUCUCGACUGGGGAACUCAGAGAGGGCCCACAUAAGCAAUGCGGAAGCAUCGGGAAACAUAGAAUCACUGAGGCCAUCUGUUUUCUCUUGAAAACUAGUGGUGGGCUGGAUUCUCUGAAGAGUUUCUCAAGGCGUGUUGGACCAGAACAGCCUUCUCAGAGAAAAGGCGAGGUUCCUGCCUGGGCCUCUGAGGUGUUGGGGGCAGGGCCAGCCUACCCCCAGGCUGUGAGGCCUGGCUGCUGGGAAGAGGCCAAACCCCAAAGGUUACUGCCACCCUGGGGUGUCAGUCCUCACAUGGCUCAGCUGUGUUCCUGCUGGCCCAGCAUCUACACCCCUGUCUACAGGUGUGUUUGUGCCGCAGGAGAACUGUCUUUCUCUACACACAGGCCAGGUGGUUCCUGGGAUUGACUUCUCUCUGCCAGGUUUGGACAAGCAGAGCAUCCUGUGUUCCCAGCUACAGUUACUGGCUGAUAUGGUUUGGCUGUGUCCCCACCCAAAUCUCAUCUUGAAUUCCCACAUGUUGUGUGAGGGACCUGGUGGGAGGUAAUUGAAUCAUGGGGGCAGGUCUUUCCCGUGCUGUUCUUGUGAUAGUCUCAUGAGAUUUGAUGGUUUUAUAAAGAGGCGUUCCCCUGCACAAGCUCUCUCUUGCCUGCUGCCAUCCAGGUAAGAUGUGAUUGCUCCUCCCUUGCCUUUCACCAUGAUUGUGAGGCUUCCCCAGCCACGUGGAACUGUAAGUCCACUAAUCUCGUUUUCCUGUUUAAAUUACCUAGUUUCGGGUCUUUAUCAGCAGCAUGAAAUCAGACUAAUGCACUGGGCUAGGCAUGGUCAUGUGAACCGGGCCAGUCAAUGAAACACAGGCUUGUGUUUUUGCAGGAAUAAUUUAGACAGGAAGGCUCUUUUCCCAUUAGGGUGCUAGGCUGGGCUAAUAUGUCAAACCAGCUGGUGGUCUCUCUCCUUAAUCACAUGGAGAAAUCCCUUGCAAGUAGAAAAGAAAGCAAAGCUACUUGACAAUGGAUGGUAGAGCUGAAGAUGGGGUGAGAGACAGCCCUGAUGGUUUGAAUCCCUGGAUCCAGCUGGUCCUGAAGCCUGCCUACCACCUCUGGUCUUUUAGGUAUGUGAACCCAUCAGUUCCUUGUUUUCCCUAAACAAACGGUGGUUAGGUUCAGAAUCCUGGCUUAAACACCCAUCUCUGAGUUCUUUCAUAGGAUGCACUUGGUGUCCUGGGGCCUUUACUCUCUAAGUUGGAUGAGGAGUACACAGCCUUUCUCCCAUACUGGGGUGGAAGCCCCGGUGCCUGCUACAUCUGGGCUUUGACGCCUGGGUCAGGAUCUUGAACCUUCUUUGCAGGCAUCUCCUUUCAUGGGAAGCCCGGUAACUUGGCUGUUAGACCUGAGGUCAAAUCCUGUCCCUGCCACUGGACAGAUGACUCUGUCUGCACCCCACUGCCCUCAUCUUUACAACAGGGGCAAUAGCCCCACCUCCCAGGAUGUUGGGAGAGUGAAUGAGAAAUACUGUGAAGCACUUGGCAAGGUGCUGGCAGAUGCGGGAGCUGUUCGAAUUAUUAUUAUCUGUGGCUCACACACCCAGAGAAAAAGGGAAGCUGUGGGCUGGUCUCACAGGCCAGCUCCUGCAGCCUCAGAAUUUUUUAAAUGAAUAAAUAAAAGAAUAAAGUAAAAUAAAAUAAA